UACGGAGGGGACUAGCGUUGUUCGGAAUUACUGGGCGUAAAGCGCACGUAGGCGGAUUUGUAAGUCAGGGGUGAAAUCCCGGGGCUCAACCUCGGAACUGCCUUUGAUACUGCAAAUCUCGAGUCCGGAAGAGGUGAGUGGAAUUCCUAGUGUAGAGGUGAAAUUCGUAGAUAUUAGGAAGAACACCAGUGGCGAAGGCGCUCACUGGUCCGGUACUGACGCUGAGGCGCGAAAGCCAGGGGAGCAAAGCGGG
rnacentral:rRNA from 1 species